rnacentral:rRNA from 1 species
GGAUUCCCCUAGUAACUGCGAGUGAAGCGGGAAAAGCUCAAAUUUAAAAUCUGGCAGUCUUUGGUUGCCCGAGUUGUAGUCUGGAGAAGUGUUUUUCUGUGCUGGACCGUGUAUAAGUCUCUUGGAAUAGAGCGUCAUAGAGGGUGAGAAUCCCGUCUUUGACACGGACUACCAGUGCUUUGUGAUGCACUCUCAAAGAGUCGAGUUGUUUGGGAAUGCAGCUCAAAAUGGGUGGUAAAUUCCAUCUAAAGCUAAAUAUUGGCGAGAGACCGAUAGCGAACAAGUACCGUGAGGGAAAGAUGAAAAGCACUUUGGAAAGAGAGUUAAACAGUACGUGAAAUUGCUGAAAGGGAAACACUUGAAGUCAGUCGCGUUGCUUGGAACUCAGCCUUGCUUUUGCUUGGUGCACUUUCUGAGUGACGGGCCAGCAUCAAUUUUGACCGUUGGAAAAAGGCUGGGGGAAUGUGGCACCUUCGGGUGUGUUAUAGACUCUGGUCACAUACAACGGUUAGGAUUGAGGACCGCAGCGCGCCGCAAGGCAGGGGUUCGCCCACUUUCGCGCUUAGGAUGCUGGCAUAAUGGCUUUAAAUGACCCGUCUUGAAACACGGACCAAGGAGUCUAACAUACCUGCGAGUGUUUGGGUGGAAAACCCGAGCGCGUAAUGAAAGUGAAAG